rnacentral:rRNA from 1 species
CCCGACUGCUAUCAGAAUAGGACUAAGCCCAUGCGAGUCAACGUAGUAAUACGUGGCAUACGGCUCAGUAACACGUAGUCAACAUGCCCAGAGGACGUGGAUAACCUCGGGAAACUGAGGAUAAACCGCGAUAGGUCAUAAUAUCUGGAAUGAUUUAUGGCUUAAAUCUAUAUGGCCUCUGGAUUGGACUGCGGCCGAUCAGGCUGUUGGUGAGGUAAUGGCCCACCAAACCUGUUACCGGUACGGGCUCUGAGAGGAGGAGCCCGGAGAUGGGCACUGAGACAAGGGCCCAGGCCCUAUGGGGCGCAGCAGGCGCGAAACCUCUGCAAUAGGCGAAAGCCUGACAGGGUUACUCUGAGUGAUGCCCGCUAAGGGUAUCUUUUGGCACCUCUAAAAAUGGUGCAGAAUAAGGGGUGGGCAAGUCUGGUGUCAGCCGCCGCGGUAAUACCAGCACCCCGAGUGGUCGGGACGAUUAUUGGGCCUAAAGCAUCCGUAGCCGGUUCUACAAGUCUUCCGUUAAAUCCACCUGCUUAACAGAUGGGCUGCGGAGGAUACUAUAGAGCUAGGAGGCGGGAGAGGCAAGCGGUACUCGAUGGGUAGGGGUAAAAUCCGUUGAUCCAUUGAAGACCACCAGUGGCGAAGGCGGCUUGCCAGAACGCGCUCGACGGUGAGGGAUGAAAGCUGGGGGAGCAAACCGGAUUAGAUACCCGGGUAGUCCCAGCUGUAAACGAUGCAGACUCGGUGAUGAAUAGGCUUCGUGCCUAUUCAGUGCCGCAGGGAAGCCGUUAAGUCUGCCGCCUGGGGAGUACGGUCGCAAGACUGAAACUUAAAGGAAUUGGCGGGGGAGCACCACAAGGGGUGAAGCCUGCGGUUC